GAUGAACGCUGGCGGCGUGCCUAAUACAUGCAAGUCGAGCGAACAGAUGAGGAGCUUGCUCCUCUGACGUUAGCGGCGGACGGGUGAGUAACACGUGGAUAACCUACCUAUAAGACUGGGAUAACUUCGGGAAACCGGAGCUAAUACCGGAUAAUAUAUUGAACCGCACGGUUCAAUAGUGAAAGACGGUUUUGCUGUCACUUAUAGAUGGAUCCGCGCCGCAUUAGCUAGUUGGUAAGGUAACGGCUUACCAAGGCAACGAUGCGUAGCCGACCUGAGAGGGUGAUCGGCCACACUGGAACUGAGACACGGUCCAGACUCCUACGGGAGGCAGCAGUAGGGAAUCUUCCGCAAUGGGCGAAAGCCUGACGGAGCAACGCCGCGUGAGUGAUGAAGGUCUUCGGAUCGUAAAACUCUGUUAUUAGGGAAGAACAAAUGUGUAAGUAACUAUGCACGUCUUGACGGUACCUAACCAGAAAGCCACGGCUAACUACGUG
rnacentral:rRNA from 1 species